rnacentral:rRNA from 1 species
UAGUGUAGGCGGUUGUUUAAGUUUGGUUGUGAAAUCUCCCGGCUCAACCGGGACGGGUGCGCCCGAAUACUGAGCGACUUCGAGUGCGGGAGAGGAAAGUGGAAUUCCUGGUGUAGGCGGUGAAAUGCGUAGAUAUCAGGAGGAACACCGGUGGUGUAGACGGCUUUCUGGACCGUAACUGACGCUGAAACCACGAAAGCGUGGGUAGCAAACAGGAUUAGAUACCCUGGUAGUCCACGCCCUAAAACGAUGCACAUUUGGUGUGGGUCAUUCAGUUGAUCCGUGCCGGAGCUAACGCGUUAAAUGUGCCGCCUGGGGAGUACAGUCGCAAGGCUGAA